rnacentral:rRNA from 1 species
UACGUAGGUGGCGAGCGUUGUCCGGAAUUAUUGGGCGUAAAGAGCUCGUAGGCGGUUCGGUAAGUCGGGUGUGAAACCUCCAGGCUCAACCUGGAGACGCCACCUGAUACUGCUGUGACUCGAGUCCGGUAGGGGAGCGUGGAAUUCCUGGUGUAGCGGUGAAAUGCGCAGAUAUCAGGAGGAACACCAGCGGCGAAGGCGGCGCUCUGGGCCGGAACUGACGCUGAGGAGCGAAAGCGUGGGUAGCAAACAGG